rnacentral:rRNA from 1 species
GAUCCUGGCUCAGGAUGAACGCUAGCUACAGGCUUAACACAUGCAAGUCGAGGGGCAGCAUUGGAGUAGCAAUACUCAGAUGGCGACCGGCGCACGGGUGAGUAACACGUAUCCAACCUGCCGCUUACUCGGGGAUAGCCUUUCGAAAGAAAGAUUAAUACCCGAUGGUAUAAAGAGUUCGCAUGUUCUCUUUAUUAAAGAAUUUCGGUAAGCGAUGGGGAUGCGUUCCAUUAGAUAGUUGGCGGGGUAACGGCCCACCAAGUCUACGAUGGAUAGGGGUUCUGAGAGGAAGGUCCCCCACAUUGGAACUGAGACACGGUCCAAACUCCUACGGGAGGCAGCAGUGAGGAAUAUUGGUCAAUGGGCGGGAGCCUGAACCAGCCAAGUCGCGUGGAAAAGGAAGAAGGAUCUAUGGUUCGUAAACUUCUUUUGCAGGGGAAUAAAGUGCAGGACGUGUCCUGUUUUGUAUGUACCCUGAGAAUAAGGAUCGGCUAACUCCGUGCCAGCAGCUGC